rnacentral:rRNA from 1 species
AUUGAACGCUGGCGGCAGGCCUAACACAUGCAAGUCGAGCGGAUGAAGAGAGCUUGCUCUCUGAUUCAGCGGCGGACGGGUGAGUAAUGCCUAGGAAUCUGCCUGGUAGUGGGGGACAACGUUUCGAAAGGAACGCUAAUACCGCAUACGUCCUACGGGAGAAAGCAGGGGACCUUCGGGCCUUGCGCUAUCAGAUGAGCCUAGGUCGGAUUAGCUAGUAGGUGAGGUAAUGGCUCACCUAGGCGACGAUCCGUAACUGGUCUGAGAGGAUGAUCAGUCACACUGGAACUGAGACACGGUCCAGACUCCUACGGGAGGCAGCAGUGGGGAAUAUUGGACAAUGGGCGAAAGCCUGAUCCAGCCAUGCCGCGUGUGUGAAGAAGGUCUUCGGAUUGUAAAGCACUUUAAGUUGGGAGGAAGGGCAGUAAGUUAAUACCUUGCUGUUUUGACGUUACCAACAGAAUAAACACCGGCUAACUUCGUGCCAGCAGCCGCGGUAAAAC